CCUUCUUUGCUGAAUCCAGGACAGACUCCACCAAGCGAAGGUCAUCUUUUCGGCAGCGCAGCAAGACAGAAGGCUCCUUCAGUCUAAGCAAACUCUGCAUAUAAUAAUAAAAAUAUAUAUAUAUAUAUAUAUGUGUUGCUAAAAAUUUAUCAUCCAGAAAAUCAUGGCAUCCCUGUUAAUGAUAAAUUCAUAACCUGAUAAUAACAUCAAAAUUGGUUACAUUGAAAUCCAUUUUCAAGAAUGAUGCCAGUGAUAAAAUUAGACUGUUCACCACAUGAUUAGUUAAUAAUGAUGAUGCUAGAUUGCUAAUGAUAUUUAAGAAUUUGCUUCAAUUUCUAUGCAGAAAAAAUAAUUUUCUUAUUUUGGAAUGAUCUUAUAUGAAUCUAACCCACUAAAAUGAAGAAGAAAAUCAGCCUUGGUAUUUGCCAACCUGAACUAUCAGAUCAUGCAAAAGCUUUUUAUACACAUGAUGAUCAUGGCUCGCAUUCAGAAGGUCCUUUCCUGCUGCCUC
rnacentral:lncRNA from 1 species